CCAGAAAUGUUUUGACACGGAGUAGUAUACGGAGUCAAUUACUUUAGUAAAUUAUUGUUCACAAUUAUAGGGCAAGCAAAUGGAAGACUAGAAAAAGCUGCCAUGGUUCUGAAACCGAAGCUACAAUGAAAAUUGCUCAUUUUUGUAGCUGCAACUAAAGAAUGGCUUGGACUCGCCUUCAGUAGCAGCGGCCAUUGUGAUAUAGGCAGAUGGACCGUUAUUGUAGAAAACAACAUUUUUUAAAAAAAUAAUUUUUAGUUUGUAAACUUAUUGUAUGAAAUAACCAUUCUUUUUCUUUCUUCCAAUAAAAAGAACUUUGAUAAA